GAGGAUAUAGCUCAGCAGUAGAGCACAUGCUUAGCAAGCACAAGGCCCUGGGUUCAAUCCCUGGUACCUCCA
rnacentral:tRNA from 1 species